GCCGGACCUGACUGCUAUCGGAUUGAUACUAAGCCAUGCGAGUCUUUGUAGUAAUACAAGGCAUACGGCUCAGUAACGCGUAGUCAACCUACCCUAUGGACAAGAAUAAUCUCGGGAAACUGAGCAUAAUUCUUGAUAGAUCAUAAUGCCUGGAAUGGUUUAUGGUUAAAAUGAUUCGUCGCCAUAGGAUGGGACUGCGGCCUAUCAGCUUGUUGGUGAGGUAAUGGCCCACCAAGGCGAUUACAGGUACGGGCUCUGAGAGGAGAAGCCCGGAGAUGGGUACUGAGACAAGGACCCAGGCCCUAUGGGGCGCAGCAGGCGAGAAAACUUUGCAAUGUGCGAAAGCACGACAAGGUUAGUCCGAGUGAUUUCUGCUAAAGAGAUCUUUUGCUAGUUAUAAAACCACUAGUGAAUAAGGGGUGGGCAAGUUCUGGUGUCAGCCGCCGCGGUAAAACCAGCACCUCAAGUGGUCAGGAUGAUUAUUGGGCCUAAAGCAUCCGUAGCCGGCUCUGUAAGUUUUCGGUUAAAUCUAUGCGCUCAACGUAUGGGCUGCCGAAAAUACUGUAGAGAUAGGGAGUGGGAGAGGUAGACGGUACUCGGUAGGAAGGGGUAAAAUCCUUUGAUCUAUCGAUGACCACCUGUGGCGAAGGCAGUCUACCAGAACACGUUCGACGGUGAGGGAUGAAAGCUGGGGGAGCAAACCGGAUUAGAUACCCGGGUAGUCCCAGCUGUAAACGAUGCAGACUCGAUGAUGCAUUGGCAUAUAGCCAGUGCAGUGUCGCAGGGAAGCCGUUAAGUCUGCCGCCUGGGAAGUACGUACGCAAGUAUGAAACUUAAAGGAAUUGGCGGGGGAGCACCACAAGGGGUGAAGCCUGCGGUUCAAUUGGAGUCAACGCCGGGG
rnacentral:rRNA from 1 species